GACGAACGCUGGCGGCGUGCUUAACACAUGCAAGUCGAACGGAAAGGCCCCUUUGGGGGUACUCGAGUGGCGAACGGGGGAGUAACACGUGAGUAACCUGCCCUUGACUUCGGGAUAACUUCAGGAAACUGGGGCUAAUACCGGAUAGGAAUCCUUGCUGCAUGGUGGGGGUUGGAAAGCUUCGGCGGUUUUGGAUGGACUCGCGGCUUAUCAGCUUGUUGGUGGGGUAGUGGCUUACCAAGGCUUUGACGGGUAGCCGGCCUGAGAGGGCGACCGGCCACAUUGGGACUGAGAUACGGCCCAGACGCCUACGGGAGGCAGCAGUGGGGAAUAUUGCACAAUGGGCGGAAGCCUGAUGCAGCAACGCCGCGUGCGGGAUGACGGCCUUCGGGUUGUAAACCGCUUUCAGCAGGGGCGAAGCUUGUGGUGACGGUACCUGCAGAAGAAGCACCGGCUAACUACGUG
rnacentral:rRNA from 1 species